rnacentral:lncRNA from 10 species
AUUUGGCCAGUGGGCUGUGGUUGGCCAACCCCUGCUCUAAUUUAGAUGAAAUAAAUUGGAAUGUUUCCUCUAAGACAAGGCUUCCAAAUCAAGACAGUGAAACCAAUGUACCAAUUUUCUGAGAAGCAGUUCUGGCAAAACUAAAGUCUCAAGCCAGUCUAAGUUCAACCAAACUAGUCUUCUUUUUCUAACUCUCAACCUGAAAUGUAAACUAUUUCAUUCUAAUACCUCAAAGGGGGCAUAAGAGCAAGAGAGGAGAGAUAUCAUGUGAAAAAAAUAAUCUAUCAUUUGUGUGGUCAUAUAUAAUGAAAUAUACUGGCAAGAAAAUCCAAUUCUUCCAAGAUCAGCAGUGGAAAAUGAAUCUCAUUGGUAUAUAUCUGUUUACUGGAACUUUGUAAAGUUUUUACUCUCUGGCUUGGUUAAAAAAACUUGGAUGUUGAAAUUAAUUUAUCUGGAUUUCAUUUUCCGUCUUCCUCCUAUUUUGUGUAAAUAUAAUCCUGGGCCACAUACUUAGAGUUUUGUUUUUUUCUCUCUGUCAGUUGAAGGCUCUUAUGAAAGCAAGACAUUAGCCACCAUGCACCAUGAAAAACAAGCUGCCUCAUCCCUUCUCCAAAGAUGGUCUUCCUUCUGUACUCCUACAUUCAAAAUUCCUUCCCUGUGUUUACUGGUGUCUGUCUGGCCUCUGAACCUUACCAUGUAGAUCCACAUUAUUUUGAGAACUUCCUUGGUAAGAGAACCCUGAGAUAAGCCGCUCCUGCUUGGGGUCUAGGUGCCACCGAAGCAAAUGCCAUUUUACAAGAAAAUGCCAUUUUUUCCUACUAGUAGUUGAAUCCAGUAGUUCUUAAAUAUAAAACUGCCCAAUGUAACUUGAUAACAUCAUGACAAUUUGAAUUUAGACUCCAAUGCAACAUUUGAAAUGUGCCUGGCUUUUAUGCAUAUGUUUCAAAAGGAUACUCUGUCCAGGAGGAUAGGAGGAAGCCUUAACAUGACCAUUCACUCUUCAUGUGAGAGGCAAUCUUACCCUGGUUUUGACCAUCUUUAAUAAGAAGCAGACCUGUGCCCAGCUGAUCCCACAAGAUGGAAGACCUGAGGACCACCCUUCCGGAGAAUCAAAGGCAAAGGUUGCUCAUCUGCUCAGCACCAAAGGUGGUAUCCCAGUUUGAGAAGUGCAGACCUGUGGCGAGGCCAUGUAGUAAUUGAAUCAGAUGGAAGAGGCUCACUGGAAGCUCACGUCUAUUAAUGAUAAGUGAUUUGUGUACAUAGCAUAUGUAACGGCUUGCAUCAGCUAUAUUUCCAAGAACCACAAUAUUCUAUCAAGACAUAGGAAGGAUGCCUGCGAAUUGUUCCUGGAUCAUACAUGAAGAUGUUAAAUGGAGUUGGGGUUGGAUAAAAGAGGUAGCCUGGAACAUCCAUAUCUAUGUACUAUGUUUUUUUUAUCUCUAUAAGAACAGUUUAGUCAGAAUUGACUUUUGUUCCAAUUACAAAAUUGGAAGUUUGUCUUCCAUCUCUAGCCUCUCUGUUGUCUACUUGUUAGGUUGUUUUUCAAACUGCCUUUGCCUGGGUGCUUCAUGUAUUUUCCCUUGCCUUGCCUGCCUCUAAUUUGUCCACCUUCAAUACACAUACACACACAUGCACGCACACAUGCACGCACACAUGCACGCACACAUGCACACACAAUUUUGGUACAUUGGCUUAGUGGAGCAACAGUUGUACCAACUGUUGUACCAACAGUUCAUGAAACAGUGGGUAAACAAACUCCCAGUUACCUCUUAGGUUUGUCUAACAUUUUAUAGGACAGGGUGACAUUUAUAAUUAGCUUCCUAUGAUCUUCUAAAAAGGAGACAAUGACAAGAGUUCUCUAAGACAUGAAAUUAAUAAAACAGAGGAAAAAAGACAAAGUGACAGAAGGUAUGACCAAAAGCAAAGCAGAGAAAAGUGGAGAAAUUCCUACACGUUUGUUCUGCUCCCACUAUAAUCACAAGGGCAGGGAGGGACACACAGUAUCUGAGUGGACUGAGAAAACUGAGUGGACUGGGAGAGAUUGUUAACUGGCCCCAGACACAGUCACACUGCGCUGUGGAGUGUCUAAGAUUCUGGGCCUCGGAUUGGUAUUUGAGUACACCUCUCACUCUAUUCCAUCUAUUUCUCAAUAAAUAAUUGAUGGUGUGAGAAUGGUGUUGGGCAAGUCACUUUCUCACUCUGAAUCUCAUCUUUAAAAUGAUGGCAUGGGACAAGAUGAUCUAUGAGGUCCCUUUAACGCUAACAUUCUAAAAUUCUAUUAUUUUUAUAACAUAGUUGGGGCAACACACCUAUUUCCUAAGUUCUCAUUCUGGGUUCAUUUUCUACACCACUUACAGCUCCUCCUUAGGCUCCAUGGGAUUCCCCAAGGCAGUGAUGGAUGAAAAUGGCAGGGAGAACAGAUGAUGUUCAUCUUGCCCUGUCUACCUCCGACUGUGACUGAUGGCAGGACACACAUUGCUUAAGAUCAGAUGAUGUGAAGGUGGGAAUAGUUUGGCCUCUAUUAGUGAGUGUUAAUAAUGGAUGGUCUGAAAUCUGUUCAGACCUGUCCAACAACUACACAAAGUGAGUCAUCAUUUGCCCCAAACAGUUUUCUAAGGAUGGUUAAUAUCUCUAUGAAUUAAGCCAGAUAGAUACUGUCCUUCUAUUGGAUACUACAAACAUAAAACUCUUAAUUUUUUAAAACUAAGUUUCAAACAGUAAAAUAGGUUAGGAUGUCCUUGUCCUUUUAAGUAAAACUUUCUAGUUAUAUUCAUGCUGAGAAUGUUUAAUGAUAAUUGACUUUCCUUAGGAUAUCACUUACAAAAUUAUUGCUGGCUCUCCAUGGACAUAUUUCUCUCAGUAAAUUUGUCUCAGAUUAUUAAUUUGAGUGAUUCCAAAGUUCUUUCAUGAGUUUUAUUUGGGUUCCUAAGUAAAUUAAAAUGUUUCAAAGUCUGUUUUUGAAAUAACAAAUAAGAAUGAUUUUGUGGGGUGAAGAAUGAGGUAUGUUUUAUUAGAAAUAUUCUUCAAUUCUCCUAUUGAAGGACAUUUACAACAAAUUUCUGAUUUUAUUUAUUAAUUUUUUGAGAUGAAGUCUCGCUCUUGUCGCCCAGGAUGGAGUGCAAUGUUGAGAUCUUGGCUCACUUCAACAUCUGCCUCCUAGGUUCAAGCGAUUCUCCUGCCUCAGCCUCCCUCAUAGCUGGGAUUACACGCACCUGACACCACGCCCGGCUAAUUUUUGUAUUUUUAGUAGAGAUAGGGUUUCACUGUCUUGGCCAGGCUGGUCUCAAACAACUCCAGACCUCAGGUGAUCUGCCCACCUCGGCCUCCCAAAGUGCUGGGAUUACAGGUGUGAGCCACCGCGCCCGGCUGCAAAUUUCUAACUUUAUAUUACUACAAAUAAUACUGCCAUGAAUUUUUUGUUUCAUGUUUCUGUUAAUAGAUGCAUAUGAGUUUCUCCAGGGUUUAUACUUAGAAGUAAAACUGUUAUAACUUCAUCUUUGCCAGAUAAUGUCAAAUAGCUUAUCAGUGUGUUCCUUUAAGUCAGAGUUAUCAGACUUAAGUAUUCUUUGGAUCACAGAUUGCUAGCUCUGUGCCCAGAGUUUCUGAUUUAGUAGGUCUAGGAUGGAGCCAGAGAAUGUGCAUUUCUAACAAGUGCUCAGGUUCUGAUGGUCCAGGGACCACACUUUGAGAAUUGUGACUGUGCAAAUUUAUAUCUCUGUCAGCAAUUUGUGAUUUCUCUAUAUCUUUAUCAUCACUUGGAAUUGUUAGAUUUUUCAAUUAUCAUCAAAUUGGUGGAAGUUAAAUGCACCUCUUUAUGGUUUUAAUUUGAAUUACCCUGAUUAUUAGUGUAAUGGAGUAUUCUUUUAUUAGAUCAUUGGUCAUUCAAAGUGUGCUUUACGUGAAUUGCUACAUUGUACAUUGUUGAGUAGAAGUGAGGAUAGUGAGCACCCUUGUUCUCACUUAAAAAUCCAGUUGAUGCAAUAAGAGAAGGAAAAUAAAUAAAAGGUAUAAUAAUUAUAAAAUGAGCUAAUGUCUCUUUGUUUGUCUCCAUAAAAAUCUAGUAGGCUUACCUGUACGCCUGUCAUGGUGGCAUGCACCUGUGGUCCUCGCUACUCAGGAGGCUUAGGUGGGAGCAUCACUUAAGGCCGGGAUUCUAGGCUACAGUGUGCUAAGAUUGUGCCUGUAAAUAGCCAGUGCUCUCCAACCUGGGUGACAUGUUAGGUUGGUGCAAAAGUAAUUGCAGUUUUGCCAUUGCUUUUGUACCAAUCUAAUAGCAAGACUCCAUUUCUAAAAAAAAAAAAAAAAAAAAAAAGAAAACUAAAGAAAAACUACAUAAAAAUAUCAAUAGAGUUUUUAUGUAUGUAUAUAUAUAUAUAUAUAUAUAUAUAUAUAUAUAUAUAUACACACUAUAAAACAAUUAGAGAGUGCAAAGAAAUAUAAGAUUCCAUACAGAAUAAGCAAUAAACAUGACAAGGUAACAAAGCUAAUAAAAGAUGUGUAAAUCCUUUAUGGAAAAGAUUACAAAGUUUAGCCAUUAAGGGCUGGGCGCAGUGGCUCAUGCCUGUAAUUCCAGCACUUUGGGAGGCCAAGGCAGGCGGAUCACGAGGUCAGGAGCUCGAGACCAGCCUGGGCAACAUGGUGAAACCCCUUCUCUACUAAAAAUACAAAAAUUAGCUGGGCAUAGUGGCAAGCGCCUGUAAUCCCAGCGACUUGGGAGGCUUAGGUAGGAGAGUCGCUUGAACCCAGGAGGCGGAGGUUGCAGUGAGCCGAGAUCAUGCCACUGCACUCCAGCCUGAAUGACAGAGACUCCAUCUCAAAAAAAAAAAAAAAAAAAAUUAGCCAUUAGGCACAAUGUUUUCAGUCACAUUUAAGUAGAUAUACAACAUUAAUAAAGAUCUAUGUGUAAGAAUUUUGUCAUAUCUUCAUUUAUAAAGAUGCUCGUUAGAUUUGCUCAAGAUAGCUAUUAUUGCUUAUAUUAUGUUACACAUUUUCUAAUGUUGAACAUCCUGACAUUCCUGGCAUACUGGCAUAUUCUUUCCUUGGCAACUAGGUGAAAUUUACGCACUAUUUAAUUUAAGUUGUUUGUAUUUUAGUUAGAAUUUUGCAUCUCUGCUCAAAUAAAAUUGCAUGUGAUAUGUUGAUUGAGUUGUGCUGGAAAAUUUUAUUAUUGACGCUAUUCUAAGAAAUUCUUGUAUUCUGAAAUUUUAAAAAAAUGAUUGGCAAAUGAGUUUAUAAAAGUGUCUAAACUAGACUAGUGUCUUUCAG